AGAGAGAGAGAGGUGGGGGAGGCAUUUUGGUCUGUAGAGAGAGAGAGGGGGCACGAGGUUUUCUGUUACUCCCCCAAAGACUGUUAUUCUUCUCUCUCUCUUGUUUGCAGUAUUUCCAAAAAUGGAGAAGCGAUUCACCCUCUUUCAGACCGUAGCAGCUGCUGGCGUCUUCUCUGCUAUUUCGUUCUGGUAUGGGUUUAUGUUUGGAAGGGAAUCCUCAAGAAAAGAGCUCAGUGGCCUCAUCGAAGAGCUCCGUGCUGCCCCUUCUCAUACAAAUACCACUGAACCAUGAAUCCAUCUUCCAAUGCAGGUGCUGGAUUCAGUGAAAAUCCUAGCCGACUUAUAAAGUGGGGAAGGAGCAGUAGAGUUGGAACUUUCAGUGAUGCCUCUAUUUAAUUGAAGAAGAGAAGAUGGGGAUGAAUCAGAAACAAAGACCUGACCUUGUGAAGAUACAUUCUGAGAAGACCCACAUGUUAAAAGGAAAAUGAUGUAAACUUGUUGGGGCCAAAAAUCCCUAUUGCCCAAGUCUCUAAUUAGUUCCCACAAGUUUGGUGUAUGACUUGCCACCGAAUUAGCUCCUCAAGUGCAUGAACAAUAUUGAUCCAGGGGUCAUAAUGAAGGUUCUACUCCCUGAGCAGAGUUGUCACAAUUACCAUUCCACUCAUGGGGAUCGAUGGGGCGGCAGCUAAGUUCUCAUUUGAUUCAUGCACAAAUUUGGUGACCAAUUUUUUUCUUGAUUGUGACAAGAUUUGUGCAUAUUAUGUGGUGGUAUGUGGAUCAGGAGUCUUUAUAUGAAUAAUUUUGUUUCACUA